rnacentral:rRNA from 1 species
GUACACUCCUGCGGGAGGCAGCAGUGGGGAAUUUUGGACAAUGGGCGAAAGCCUGAUCCAGCCAUGCCGCGUGCAGGAUGAAGGCCUUCGGGUUGUAAACUGCUUUUGUACGGAACGAAACGGCCUUUUCUAAUAAAGAGGGCUAAUGACGGUACCGUAAGAAUAAGCACCGGCUAACUACGUGCCAGCAGCCGCGGUAAUACGUAGGGUGCAAGCGUUAAUCGGAAUUACUGGGCGUAAAGCGUGCGCAGGCGGUUAUGUAAGACAGUUGUGAAAUCCCCGGGCUCAACCUGGGAACUGCAUCUGUGACUGCAUAGCUAGAGUACGGUAGAGGGGGAUGGAAUUCCGCGUGUAGCAGUGAAAUGCGUAGAUAUGCGGAGGAACACCGAUGGCGAAGGCAAUCCCCUGGACCUGUACUGACGCUCAUGCACGAAAGCGUGGGGAGCAAACAGGAUUAGAUACCCCAGUAGUCCCAUGAU